UACGUAGGGGGCGAGCGUUGUCCGGAAUUACUGGGCGUAAAGGGCGCGUAGGCGGUUUAUUAAGUCUCUAGGUGAAAACUAUCGGCUCAACCGGUAGCCUGCCUGAGAAACUGGUAGACUUGAGGGCAGGAGAGGGGAGUGGAAUUCCCAGUGUAGCGGUGAAAUGCGUAGAUAUUGGGAGGAACACCAGUGGCGAAGGCGGCUCUCUGGCCUGUUACUGACGCUGAGGCGCGAAAGCGUGGGGAGCGAACGGG
rnacentral:rRNA from 1 species